CAAUAGCGUAUAUUAAAGUUGUUGCGGUUAAAAAGCUCGUAGUUGGAUUUCUGCCGAGGACGUCCGGUCCGCCCUCUGGGUGAGUACAUGGCACGGCCUGGGCAUCUUCUUGGGGAACGUAUCUGCACUUGACUGUGUGGUGCGGUAUCCAGGACUUUUACUUUGAGGAAAUUAGAGUGUUUCAAGCAGGCACACGCCUUGAAUACAUUAGCAUGGAAUAAUAAGAUAGGACCUCGGUUCUAUUUUGUUGGUUUCUAGACCUGAAGUAAUGAUUGAUAGGGAUAGUUGGGGGUGCUAGUAUUGAGUGGCCAGAGGUGAAAUUCUUGGAUUCACUCAAGACUAACUUAUGCGAAAGCAUUCACCAAGGAUGUCUUCUUUAAUCAAGAACGAAAGUUGGGGGAUCGAAGAUGAUUAGAUACCGU
rnacentral:rRNA from 1 species